rnacentral:rRNA from 1 species
UACGGAAUGUGCAAACGUUAUUCGGAAUCACUGGGCUUAAAGAGUCCGUAGGCGGCAUGUUAGGUGAGGUGUGAAAUCCCCCGGCUCAACCGAGGAAUUGCGCUUCAAACCGGCGUGCUAGAGGAAGAUAGAGGUGGGCGGAACUGAUGGUGGAGCGGUGAAAUGCGCAGAUAUUAGGAAGAACACCGGUGGCGAAGGCGGCUCUCUGGAACGGUACUGACGCUGAGACGCGAAAGCGUGGGGAGCGAACAGG